rnacentral:rRNA from 1 species
CCUACGGGAGGCAGCAGUGGGGAAUAUUGCACAAUGGGCGAAAGCCCGAUGCAGCAACGCCGCGUGAGUGAUGAAGGCCUUCGGGUUGUAAAGCUCUGUCUACUGGGACGAUAAUGACGGUACCAGAGGAGGAAGCCACGGCUAACUACGUGCCAGCAGCCGCGGUAAU